CAAAAAAUAGUUUAAUUUAGAACUCUGGCUUUGGGGGUCAGGGGUGGGAGUUUGAAUCUCCUUUUUUUGA
rnacentral:tRNA from 1 species